rnacentral:rRNA from 1 species
UACGUAGGGGGCAAGCGUUGUCCGGAUUUAUUGGGCGUAAAGAGCGUGUAGGCGGCUGGGUAGGUCCGCUGUGAAAACUCGAGGCUUAACCUCGAGACGUCGGUGGAAACCAUCCAGCUAGAGUCCGGAAGAGGAGAGUGGAAUUCCUGGUGUAGCGGUGAAAUGCGCAGAUAUCAGGAAGAACACCCGUGGCGAAAGCGGCUCUCUGGGACGGUACUGACGCUGAGACGCGAAAGCGUGGGGAGCGAACCGG